UACGGAGGGUGCAAGCGUUAUCCGGAUUCACUGGGUUUAAAGGGUGCGUAGGAGGGCAGGUAAGUCAGUGGUGAAAUCCCCGAGCUUAACUUGGGACUGCCGUUGAUACUAUCUGUCUUGAAUACCGUGGAGGUGAGCGGAAUAUGUCAUGUAGCGGUGAAAUGCUUAGAUAUGACAUAGAACACCAAUUGCGAAGGCAGCUCGCUACACGAAUAUUGACUCUGAGGCACGAAAAGCGUGGGGGAUCAAACAGG
rnacentral:rRNA from 1 species